rnacentral:rRNA from 1 species
CCUACGGGAGGCAGCAGUGGGGAAUCUUGCGCAAUGGGCGAAAGCCUGACGCAGCCAUGCCGCGUGAAUGAUGAAGGUCUUAGGAUUGUAAAAUUCUUUCACCGGGGACGAUAAUGACGGUACCCGGAGAAGAAGCCCCGGCUAACUUCGUGCCAGCAGCCGCGGUAAUACGAAGGGGGCUAGCGUUGCUCGGAAUUACUGGGCGUAAAGGGAGCGUAGGCGGAUAGUUUAGUCAGAGGUGAAAGCCCAGGGCUCAACCUUGGAAUUGCCCUUGAUACUGGCUAUCUUGAGUACGGAAGAGGUAUGUGGAACUCCGAGUGUAGAGGUGAAAUUCGUAGAUAUUCGGAAGAACACCAGUGGCGAAGGCGACAUACUGGUCCGUUACUGACGCUGAGGCUCGAAAGCGUGGGGAGCAAACAGGAUUAGAUACCCUGGUAGUCCACGCUGUAAACGAUGAGUGCUAGUUGUCGGCGUGCAUGCAUGUCGGUGACGCAGCUACGACAUAAGUACACUCCGCCGUCGGGAGGUACGGUCGGCGAAGAAUUAAAACUUAAAAGUAAGUUAGUACGGCGUGAGACGNGCCGACGGACGACGACGAGGGAGGUAGG